AUUUGUAAAACUUUAAAUGGCGCUAUUUUUAUGACAUUUGAAGACUAUUGUGAACGGGUUUAAAAAGACGAUUUCAGUGCAACGAUUUAUAUAUCCUGAGAUGCUACUGUGAAUUAAAACCGCUGAGUCAGCAUACACGAAAAAUUAUUUGUGCCAAGAAGAGAUAACGGAGAAGAAGAGAUGAUGUAUAAAAUGUAACAAAAAUAUUUUAGGUUAAAAAGAAGUGACCACUUGUCCGAAUAUAGAAGCACUGUAAAUAGAAGAGCAUGUUCAAAU